rnacentral:miRNA from 1 species
UGACGCCCCUUCUGAUUCUGCCU